AGUGAACGCUGGCGGUAGGCCUAACGCAUGCAAGUCGAACGGCAGCACAGUAAGAGCUUGCUCUUACGGGUGGCGAGUGGCGGACGGGUGAGGAAUACAUCGGAAUCUACUUUUUCGUGGGGGAUAACGUAGGGAAACUUACGCUAAUACCGCAUACGACCUACGGGUGAAAGCAGGGGAUCUUCGGACCUUGCGCGAUUGAAUGAGCCGAUGUCGGAUUAGCUAGUUGGCGGGGUAAAGGCCCACCCAGGCGACGAUCCGUAGCUGGUCUGAGGGGAUGAUCAGCCACACUGGAACUGAGACACGGUCCAGACUCCUACGGGAGGCAGCAGUGGGGAAUAUUGGACAAUGGUCGCAAGCCUGAUCCAGCCAUACCGCGUGGGUGAAGAAGGCCUUCGGGUUGGAAAGCCCUUUUGUUGGGAAAGAAAAGCAGCAGGUUAAUACCCCGCUGUUCUGACGGUACCCAAAGAAUAAGCACCGGCUAACUUCGUG
rnacentral:rRNA from 1 species